CCCCCCCGGGCCCGCGCGUCCCCGCGACCCGGACGCGGACACUGGGGUGCAGUUAGACGCCCGCACUUCGUGCUCCAUAGGCGGCUCGCUUUCGGAGGGCGGGGGCGGCGCCUGUCCUCGCGGGGAGGAACGCUGCGCUGUCCCGCGGCGGAAGACUCGGUUUACUCCCCAGGACUUAGAUCUACGAAGGACGUGGCCGCGAUGUGCGAGGGGUGCAGAGCGGUGACUGUUCAAAGCUUUCUUACCACUGGCUUUUGAUAUGGACUCACGAAAAAAAUACAAAUUGCUUUUCUAUUUCUGCAAGUUGGGACUACAGCUAGAGCAGGGGAAAGCGCAGCAGUGGAGAAGAGGCUUAACACGGCCUCUGGUCAGCCUAGGAUGGUGCCGGUCGGACUCUUCAUCCCAGACUCUGUGGUUAGAUAAGGCGAGGGCACAGCACAGCUCCUCCUUAACUACUUCCUGCUGGUUAGGGGCCACGGUUGGGAUUUGGACUGGACUGAGGAAGCAGGGCUGUGUUGACGCGGCCUUUACAACUGCCUGUGACGUGGACACAAGCCUGCUGGUGAGGAAUCUUGGAAGCGAUUGACUAAGAGUGGCAAUAUAAACAGGGGAGCGAAGGGAGGAGAACAGGCACUACAAAGGAAGACUCCAAGGCAGGUUCGUGGACUUCAGCGAACCCCAUGAGCUCCGCAGGGUACUCCCUGGACCUCGGUGUCUGUCUUCUGCAAAGCUGCAGUUACACUGUCGAGAUCAUCUGGGGUAAACGAACAUGUUGUAUGAAGCAUGGCGCAUGUACCCCCUUGGGCAGGGGUAAGGAGAGCUAAGCCAUAAGAUUUUGUAAAACUACCUUUCUCAUUUGGGAAGUUUCGUCCAUUAAUAAUGCAAUAGCCUGG
rnacentral:lncRNA from 1 species